CUACUCGCUUCGACGGUACAUAUACUAAAAUCGGAACGAUGCAGAGAAGAUUUGCAUGGCCCCCGCACAAAAAUGACACGCAGAAUCGUGAAGCAUUCACAUUUUUC